CUGCAGUCCUGGUUGUAAGUGUUUAGUCCUAAAGGACCGCCGAGGUCGAAUGAAUCUUUAUUCCCCUUGGAAACUCUCCCUGUACUCUCAGUCACACCUUCGUAAGCUAUGUAGAAACUGGUUAAACCGGUCUAUCCGCUCGGUAACAGGUUCUCGUCUCUCUGUCUCGGUUGUGAACACAGUGGAAAUGACAACAUCACCCGACUGUAAAGAUCGCGUACCUGUUUGCUCUUAUUGAGUAAUGCGACACAACUCGCUUGAUGUCAUCUCUUAUCUGCUCCGCCUGAAAUGUGCAAACAGACGCACAGCUGAAGAAAUACACACUCGGCCUCUUCUGGGCGCAGCUCUGACACACCAACAGGAGGAGGAGAGCUGGAUCACGGAGACAUGGGGAACGUAUGCAGUCGCAGCGGAGGAGAGACCGCAUGGCAAACUCCUCCAGCUCCUCAUCAAUGGAUGACCUUGUUGGUCUGGACCUCCAGCAUCACCUCGGCACUGGACAGCCGAUGAGCAUCAACAAGAAGUGCAAUCUGUGAAAGAGCCUCUUCAACCGUAUCCACACCCUCAUCUCCCAGAGAAAAACUCACCAGCCGCUCGAUUCAAAAUAGAGGAAGAACAAAACGUUAUCAUCACUGAUAACAGGCUGUAAAAAAGCACCACGCAUGAAUCACAUACAACAUUCCUAGUUGUUAAAUUGCUUUAAUUACAGAUAAUUAGCUUUAACUGAUAAUUGACCUUUCUGGAAUUAUCAGCAUUGCAGUAUGCACAUUUAAGUCAACAUGAAACUGCAUUAUAUUUCUGUAAUAUGAUGCCCAAAACUGGAUAUUCAAUGGGAAAAUGUUGAAAGGGGCCGUGAUUGAAUUCAAUUCUGAUUUCAUGCAGACUUGAAAUACCUAUUAUACACACCCUGUUUUCCAUAAUAAAAUACUAAGCACUUAUCUGUACAUCCAUAUGAAAGAAUCCACUUCAAAUGCAUGUAAAAGCAACCUCUCGAUUUAUAGAUGUGACUCACGACUCAAGAAGUUUGAACAACCAUAAAAAGUCUUGCAUUGA